rnacentral:rRNA from 1 species
GAUGAACGCUGGCGGCGUACCUAAUACAUGCAAGUCGAGCGAACGGACGAGAAGCUUGCUUCUCUGAUGUUAGCGGCGGACGGGUGGGUAACACGUGGAUAACCUACCUAUAAGACUGGGAUAACUUCGGGAAACCGGAGCUAAUACCGGAUAAUAUUUUGAACCGCAUGGUUCAAAAGUGAAAGACGGUCUUGCUGUCACUUAUAGAUGGAUCCGCGCUGCAUUAGCUAGUUGGUAAGGUAACGGCUUACCAAGGCAACGAUGCAUAGCCGACCUGAGAGGGUGAUCGGCCACACUGGAACUGAGACACGGUCCAGACUCCUACGGGAGGCAGCAGUAGGGAAUCUUCCGCAAUGGGCGAAAGCCUGACGGAGCAACGCCGCGUGAGUGAUGAAGGUCUUCGGAUCGUAAAACUCUGUUAUUAGGGAAGAACAUAUGUGUAAGUAACUGUGCACAUCUUGACGGUACCUAAUCAGAAAGCCACGGCUAACUACGUGCCAGCAGCCGCGGUAAUACGUAGGUGGCAAGCGUUAUCCGGAAUUAUUGGGCGUAAAGCGCGCGUAGGCGGUUUUUUAAGUCUGAUGUGAAAGCCCACGGCUCAACCGUGGAGGGUCAUUGGAAACUGGAAAACUUGAGUGCAGAAGAGGAAAGUGGAAUUCCAUGUGUAGCGGUGAAAUGCGCAGAGAUAUGGAGGAACACCAGUGGCGAAGGCGACUUUCUGGUCUGUAACUGACGCUGAUGUGCGAAAGCGUGGGGAUCAAACAGGAUUAGAUACCCUGGUAGUCCACGCCGUAAACGAUGAGUGCUAAGUGUUAGGGGGUUUCCGCCCCUUAGUGCUGCAGCUAACGCAUUAAGCACUCCGCCUGGGGAGUACGACCGCAAGGUUGAAACUCAAAGGAAUUGACGGGGACCCGCACAAGCGGUGGAGCAUGUGGUUUAAUUCGAAGCAACGCGAAGAACCUUACCAAAUCUUGACAUCCUUUGACAACUCUAGAGAUAGAGCCUUCCCCUUCGGGGGACAAAGUGACAGGUGGUGCAUGGUUGUCGUCAGCUCGUGUCGUGAGAUGUUGGGUUAAGUCCCGCAACGAGCGCAACCCUUAAGCUUAGUUGCCAUCAUUAAGUUGGGCACUCUAAGUUGACUGCCGGUGACAAACCGGAGGAAGGUGGGGAUGACGUCAAAUCAUCAUGCCCCUUAUGAUUUGGGCUACACACGUGCUACAAUGGACAAUACAAAGGGCAGCGAAACCGCGAGGUCAAGCAAAUCCCAUAAAGUUGUUCUCAGUUCGGAUUGUAGUCUGCAACUCGACUACAUGAAGCUGGAAUCGCUAGUAAUCGUAGAUCAGCAUGCUACGGUGAAUACGUUCCCGGGUCU